rnacentral:rRNA from 1 species
AGAACGAACGCUGGCGGCAUGCCUAACACAUGCAAGUCGAACGCUCUCUUCGGAGGGAGUGGCGCACGGGUGAGUAACGCGUGGGAACCUGCCUUGGAGUGGGGGAUAACCGAUGGAAACGUCGGCUAAUACCGCAUACGUCCUGAGGGAGAAAGAUUUAUCGCUCUGAGAGGGGCCCGCGUCGGAUUAGCUAGUUGGUGGGGUAACGGCCUACCAAGGCGAUGAUCCGUAGCUGGUCUGAGAGGAUGAUCAGCCACACUGGGACUGAGACACGGCCCAGACUCCUACGGGAGGCAGCAGUGGGAAUAUUGGACAAUGGGCGCAAGCCUGAUCCAGCAAUGCCGCGUGAGUGAUGACGGCCUUAGGGUUGUAAAGCUCUUUCGGCGGGGACGAUGAUGACGGUACCCGCAGAAGAAGCCCCGGCUAACUUCGCGCCAGCAGCCGC